CCAGUAGCCCAUGCAUAUCAAUUGUCACUAAAAAUCAGUGGUAAAAUGUGAGGAAAUACUACAACUUUUUAAAAAACUGGAAAAGUUCAAAUCUAAUGAAAUACACUGACACUUUAUUUUUGUCUUUUCAAGAGUUACUGAAUGCCCUGCUACAUAUGUCAUACAGUAAUCGUAAUUCUAUUUAAAACAUAUUAAUGUACAUGUGUAAUUACAGUCAUUAUAAAAUAUAUAGUUGUUUAUAUACACACUAUAAAUGCAUAUAUUUGAAAAAAAAAAAACGCUUAAAAAAAACCUUGCGUACAUAGUAUAGAUCUACGCGCCCCCUGAACCCCAAAUAAAGAUGGACAGUGACAUAGAAAUUUGCAGUGGCAGCAGUACGCAGGGCUCUGUGGAGGUGGAGGACUUCUCUCCUCCUGAUUCCCCAGGGCCAAAUGGAGACAUAAUAGAUAGCGGUGCAGGUCCUCUGCCCUAUCUAUUUGAACCAAUAGCCCCUACCGUGACUGUGGACGAAAACAUGGACGAACCGGAGGCUGCGCGGAUGGGAGAAGUGUCAGAAUGGUAGCUAGCUGCUAGCUAACUAAUCAGAGAAGACUAAAAACUCUUCUGCAGGCACAAGACCUGAAAAUAGCAUAACGUUUUCAUUCAUAAACGUAUAAUUUUGCAACAGGUGUACUUGUGGUCACUGUACCAGGCUGUCUCCAAGAGAAAACUUGUGCUGUAGAGAGGUGGCACAGGUGAUGCACAGAUGUGAGCAGGUUGGUGGGGCAGCAUGCAUGACUGCUCAUCCUGGUUUUGAACCUGUCACCCUAAACACAUUUGUUUUGCAAGCUGUUUAUGGCACAUAUCGCCAGCUCUAUGGUGACAUGGAGAACACAGUCCUCAAUAGUUGCUACAGACACCUGGCCUAUAGGAAUUUUGUCCGGUGGUGCUGGGGGUACCUUGGCCGACACAUUAGGGUGGUGAUUCCCUCGUGUGCUGUUACCCGCAUCAGAGAGCAGUUCCCUGACAACACUGGAAC